rnacentral:rRNA from 1 species
AAAUCACGCUGAAACACCGGUUCUCGUUCGAUCACCGAAGUUAAGCAUCGUAGAGCCAGGUCAGUACUUAGAUGAGAGACCGCUUGGGAACACCUGGUACUGUAAG